rnacentral:rRNA from 1 species
UACGGGGAUGGCGAGCGUUACUCGGAUUUAUUGGGUGUAAAGGACAGGUAGGCGUCCUAUUAAGUUAGAAGUGAAAUCCUGUGGCUCAACCACAGAACUGCUUUUAAAACUGAUAGGAUUGAGGUCAGAAGGGGAAAGCGGAAUUCCCGGUGUAAGAGUGAAAUCUGUAGAUAUCGGGAGGAACACCAGUAGCGAAGGCGGCUUUCUGGUCUGACCCUGACGCUGAACUGUGAAAGCUAGGGGAGCAAACAGG